rnacentral:lncRNA from 1 species
GAAAAAUAUUGCCCAUUAUGGGAAAGGCACAUUUGGUUGGAUGAUAAGACUCAUAUGGGUCCUAGUUACACCGCCAUGUGCAGCAAUGCAUGGCGUUUUUGCCAGGAACAAAGAGGGCAGCAACUCACAAGCAAAAAUCAGUUGUUCUGGACGACCCCAAGGUGGCAGUUUCCUGGCUUUUCAAAAGUUAGGAGCAUGAGUUCCCAGUACUCUCAGUAGAAGUUUAAAAAGAGGUGGGGGGAAGGAAGAACCAUAAUCUAAGUUAUACACCUAACAUUAGAUUAUUUUGUAUUAACUACAGAGUGCAAAAACACACCUGAAAAACUGAGUUUGCUGCCUGUUCUGCAAUCACAUGAAUCACUUUUAUUUACACGCGAGCAACUUAAGGGCUGUACUUGUGAGCCUGCUGGAGCCAAGUCCCGUUCCCCAAGGACUGCAGAGAGCCUGAGCCUUCUCCGUGAGGCAGGAUCCAAAGUGGCUGUGGGAAGGUUCUGCCCAUCAGGAACCCUCCAUGACUUGAUGGUGAUGGCAACGCAGGUCCCACUGAGCAGAGAACAGCACCUGCUGCUCACCGCUGUGCACGGGCUGUGCUCCAUAUUCCUGUGCUGGGUUAGACAACAUCCGAGAUGGUCUGUGAUGAAAGGGCAUGAUCUUGUGACAGAUAGAUCAUUAUCACAGAGGCUAAUUACCCUUUGCUGAUUCCUGGACAAUCAGAUUAGCAUCAGUGAGGCUGGGGAAAUCUAUCAAGAGCAGAAAGAGACACAGGAGACAAACAAUGGAAAUUAAAUCCCUCAGCUAAGCAGAGCAGUAAGACAUUUUCUGAGGCAGAUUAC